rnacentral:rRNA from 1 species
GCAGCCGCGGUAAUACGUAGGUGGCAAGCGUUAUCCGGAUUUACUGGGUGUAAAGGGCGCGUAGGCGGGGAUGCAAGUCAGAUGUGAAAUCUAUGGGCUCAACUCAUAAACUGCAUUUGAAACUGUAUCUCUUGAGUGCUGGAGAGGUAGAUGGAAUUCCUUGUGUAGCGGUGAAAUGCGUAGAUAUAAGGAAGAACACCAGUGGCGAAGGCGAUCUACUGGACAGUAACUGACGCUGAGGCGCGAGAGCGUGGGGAGCAAACAGGAUUAGAUACCCC